rnacentral:lncRNA from 1 species
CUUUCUCCUCUGCAAGAAGGGAAGUGACCGCAGGUCAGCGCCAAGGUCAAGCAGGCAGACCCGCAGUGAGACCCGUUGAGCUGCUUGCUUCUGGCGCUGGCGCCUCUGAGCUGGGCAGAGAAGCUUACAGACUCCCACGUCCAGGGUGCAUCUUGGCUCACAUCUUGUCCCCUCAGCCACAGCUGGGGGUGCUGCUGGUCCUCCCAUUCCCCUCUGGGUCACAUAUCCCCUCAUCGUGUCC